rnacentral:rRNA from 1 species
CCUACGGGAGGCUGCAGUGAGGAAUAUUGGUCAAUGGGCGCGAGCCUGAACCAGCCAAGUAGCGUGAAGGAUGACUGCCCUACGGGUUGUAAACUUCUUUUAUAAAGGAAUAAAGUGAGGCACGUGUGCCUUUUUGUAUGUACUUUAUGAAUAAGGAUCGGCUAACUCCGUGCAAGCAGCCGCGGUAUUACGGAGGAUUCGAGCGUUAUCCGGCUUUAUGGGGUGUAAAGGGAGCGUAGGCGGGUUGUUAAGUCAGUUGUGAAAGGUUGCGGCUCAACCGUAAAAUUGCAGUUGAUACUGGGAGCCUUGAGUACAGGAGAGGUAGGCGGAAUUCGUGGUGUAGCGGUGAAAUGCGUAGAUAUUACGAAGAACUCCGAUUGCGAAGGCAGCCUGCUGGACUGUAACUGACGCUGAUGCUCGAAAGUGUGGGUAGCAAACAGGAUUAGAUACCCCUGUAGUC